CGGUAUUUUGACCGUGCAAAGGUAGCGUAAUCACUUGUCUCUUAAAUGGAGACCUGUAUGAAUGGCAAGACGAGGGCUCAACUGUCUCCCCUUUCUGGUCAAUGAAAUUGAUCUCCCCGUGCAGAAGCGGGGAUCCCCACAUAAGACGAGAAGACCCUGUGGAGCUUUAGACACUAAGAUAGAUCAUGUCCCUCCCCCAAGUAUAAAUGACAAAACUUAAUGACCCCCUAUCCUACUGUCUUCGGUUGGGGCGACCGCGGAGAAACAAAUAUCCUCCAUGCGGAAUAAGAGCACUACUCUUACAAACAAGAUCUCCCACUCUAACGUAACAGAAUUUCUGACCUUAUGAUCCGGCAAUGCCGAUUAACGAACCAAGUUACCCCAGGGAUAACAGCGCAAUCCUCUCUUAGAGACCAUAUCGACGAGUGGGUUUACGACCUCGAUGUUGGAUCAGGACAUCCUAAUGGCGCAGCCGCUAU
rnacentral:rRNA from 1 species